rnacentral:rRNA from 1 species
GAUGAACGCUGGCGGCGUGCCUAACACAUGCAAGUCGUACGAGCUCGAUCUUCGGAACGGGUUAGUGGCGCACGGGUGAGUAACACGUAGGUGACCUACCCCAGAGUGGGGGAUAACUUCUCGAAAGAGAGGCUAAUACCGCAUACACUCGGUCAUUCAUUUGGCCGAGCAAAGCUCCGGCGCUUUGGGACGGGCCUGCGUCCGAUUAGCUAGUUGGUAGGGUAAUGGCUUACCAAGGCUUUGAUCGGUAGCUGGUCUGAGAGGACGAUCAGCCACACUGGCACUGACACACGGGCCAGACUCCUACGGGAGGCAGCAGUGAGGAAUAUUGGGCAAUGGGCGAAAGCCUGACCCAGCAACGCCGCGUGGAGGGAUGAACGCUGGUGUAACUCUUUCUGGAGAAGAG